rnacentral:rRNA from 1 species
UACGUAGGGUGCAAGCGUUAAUCGGAAUUACUGGGCGUAAAGCGUGCGCAGGCGGCUUUGCAAGACAGAUGUGAAAUCCCCGGGCUUGACCUGGGAACUGCAUUUGUGACUGCAUGGCUGGAGUGCGGCAGAGGGGAUGGAAUUCCGCGUGUAGCAGUGAAAUGCGUAGAUAUGCGGAGGAACACCGAUGGCGAAGGCAAUCCCCUGGGCCUGCACUGACGCUCAUGCACGAAAGCGUGGGGAUCAAACAGGAAUUAGAU